rnacentral:rRNA from 1 species
UACGUAGGGUGCGAGCGUUGUCCGGAAUUACUGGGCGUAAAGCGUGCGCAGGCGGUUCUCCAAGUCCGUUGUGAAAGCCCCGGGCUCAACCUGGGAAUGGCAGUGGAAACUAGGGGACUGGAAUCUGGCAGAGGGGGGUGGAAUGCCGCGUGUAGCAGUGAAAUGCGUAGAGAUGCGGCGGAACACCGAUGGCGAAGGCAGCCCCCUGGGCUGAGAUUGACGCUCAGGCACGAAAGCGUGGGGAGCAAACAGG